ensembl:lncRNA
GCCAGCCCUCCUCACUCCAGUGCUGUCAGGGUGAGAGAGGCUCAGAGGGCUGUCACUUUGAAUGACUCCAUGAAUAGGCCCAUGCCUUUUAGAGAACACUGUUAUUUGCUGUAAGUUGUUUUGACAUGGACCCUAAUACCUCUUGCACUUGGCCAAAGGGUUUGGGUUUGGGAAAACUGGAGUAUUUGGCAGGUCUCAGCCUCCAGAGACAAGGGUGGUGCUUUUCCGCCUAGCUGAAAGGGAACGACUGUGACAUGUUGCUCACACAGGGCUGGAUGAAUGUCAGUCACAUCUGCUCAUCUCCUCCUUCACCCUCUGACAAUCUUCUUGUCUGUCUGUCAUGCUACCUGUCACUCAACUCAUUCCAGACUGGAUGGUUGCUUUCCUUUUAAAGAAAACAGCCUCUUAAUAGUGUUAUUAACAGUUAAUCCAAAGAUCACAAAGGUAGAUGAGUGCCUUACACUCCAGGGGUAAUGCAGCUGUUUUUUUCUCAGAGAAGAUGCUGUCAGAUUUCCUUCAAGAUAAAAUAAGGGCAUUCAAACAGUUAACCGUAACCUAGCAUGUUGAAGUGAAAUAGUAGGAAACAGCAAGCUUGGCAAAGGUAAAAAUAGUCCCUAUAUUUAACAUGUUAUACUUGUUUCUGCCAUUUCUAAAUAAGUCCAGGCUGUUGCUUCAGAGUAGACACAAGGCUGGUUUCAAAUACACAAUGUUUUUAAUGUUUUUCACAAUUUAUAAGGCACUUUUAAAGUAGUAAAACAUGUAUAGCUUUUAAUUAGACAUACGUUUCUUUCUGUGAUUGACUGAUUUUUUUUUAAAUGUAAUGACAUGCAUUUGCAUCACAGAUAUCUAGUCACACUUGUGUGUCAAAGUUUUGCCGCAGUUAAAUAUGAUGCAGGUGAAUACAAUAAGAAUUUUUUAAAAACCUUCAUUUCACCAUGAAAUUCCCCCAACUGAUUAAUAACAGUUGACUACAGAUUUUCUGAAAAUUUAUGUUUAAAUAUGUAAAUGACAUUAUUUAAGCUCCUAGGACCUGGCGUCCACAUAUGUGGACAUCACAUUUGGGGUUGUCUAGACCAGCGGUCCCCAACCCCCGGGCCUCACUCGUUUGGUACAUGGAAACAUGUUUGAAGUAACAGUUUUGGAGUGAAAUUUCAUGCGAUGUUCAUAAAAUCUUUGACUUUUUUUUAUUUUUUACUUACUUACUUUUUUUUUUUUUUUUACAGAUAUACGUUUUCCUGAAGCUGUUAGCAGCACCUCAAAUGAGCUAUAUUGCUCAAAGGGGCACAGUGGUUGUUUUUCAUUUUCUUUUUGUACUCAGGAAAAAUGCUGCUGUGUACAGACAACAAAUAAAGAGCUUUGCACAUCAUUACUCAAUUGUGAACGUAGUAUUCUAUCAAAAUUCUAUUGAACAUAUCAUUUUUCUCAGAAACUACACCAGGUAAAAAGAUAAUUCUUUGUUUUUACAUUCAUCAGGUCCCAG